GUGCCAGCAGCCGCGGUAAUACGUAGGGGGCAAGCGUUGUCCGGAAUCAUUGGGCGUAAAGAGCGUGUAGGUGGCCCGGUCAGUCCGCCGUGAAAGUCCAGGGCUCAACCCUGGAAUGCCGGUGGAUACUGCCGGGCUGGAGUCCGGAAGAGGCGAGUGGAAUUCCUGGUGUAGCGGUGAAAUGCGCAGAUAUCAGGAGGAACACCAAUGGCGAAGGCAGCUCGCUGGGACGGUACUGACACUGAGACGCGAAAGCGUGGGGAGCAAACAGGAUUAGAUACCCUGGUAGUCC
rnacentral:rRNA from 1 species